rnacentral:lncRNA from 1 species
UGUGUGUGUGUGUGUGUGUGUACAGUAUAGGUGUGAGUGUAUGUGUAUGUGUACAGUAUGGGUGUCGGUGUGUGUGUAUGUGUACAGUAUGGGUGUCAGUGUGUGUGUGUGUGUGUACAGUAUGGGUGUGAGUGUAUGUGUAUGUGUACAGUAUGGGUGUGAGUGUAUGUGUAUGUGUACAGUAUGGGUGUCAGUGUGUGUGUGUGUGUGUAUGUGUACAGUAUGGGUGUCAGUGUGUGUGUGUGUGUGUGUGUUAUGGGUGUCAGUGUGUGUGUGUGUAUGUAUACAGUAUGGGUGUGAGUGUAUGUGUAUGUGUACAGUAUGGGUGUCAGUGUGUGUGUGUAUGUAUACAGUAUGGGUGUCAGUGUGUGUGUAUGUGUACAGUAUGGGUGUCAGUGUAUGUGUAUGUGUACAGUAUGGGUGUCAGUGUGUGUGUAUGUGUACAGUAUGGGUGUCAGUGUGUGUGUGUAUGUGUACAGUAUGGGUGUGAGUGUAUGUUUAUGUGUACAGUAUGGGUGUCAGUGUGUGUGUGUAUGUAUACAGUAUGGGUGUCAGUGUAUGUGUAUGUGUACAGUAUGGGUGUCAGUGUGUGUGUAUGUGUACAGUAUGGGUGUCAGUGUGUGUGUGUAUGUGUACAGUAUAGGUGUGAGUGUAUGUGUAUGUGUACAGUAUGGGUGUCAGUGUGUGUGUGUGUGUUUAUGUGUACAGUAUGGGUGUCAGUGUGUGUCUAUGUGGACAGUAUGGGUGUCAGUGUGUGUGUGUAUGUGUACAGUAUGGGUGUCAGUGUGUGUGUAUGUGUACAGUAUGGGUGUCAGUGUGUGUGUGUGUAUGUAUACAGUAUGGGUGUGAGUGUAUUUGUAUGUGUACAGUAUGGGUGUCAGUGUGUGUGUGUAUGUAUACAGUAUGGGUGUCAGUGUAUGUGUAUGUGUACAGUAUGGGUGUCAGUGUGUGUGUAUGUGUACAGUAUGGGUGUCAGUGUGUGUGUGUAUGUGUACAGUAUAGGUGUGAGUGUAUGUGUAUGUGUACAGUAUGGGUGUCAGUGUGUGUGUAUGUGUACAGUAUGGGUGUCAGUGUGUGUGUAUGUGUACAGUAUGGGUGUCAGUGUGUGUCUGU